CCUGACCCGAGACUAGAAAUGGCGCCGCUACAUGACCCACUGCAAGCAGCUCAACUGCUACUUCGGCCACGAGUGCGAGCAGAUAGAGAGGACCUCUAGGAUCCUCAAUGAGGUCGCGAUCACCAGGUUCAACAAGUGUCGCAUAUCAGAACAGCUGAAACCGAAGCCCAAAGAUGAGAAGGAAAAGAAGAAGUAAGGUUAUGGUUAAGUUAGACUCCGGGAUAGUUAAGUGAGGGGGGAGGGGAACGCAGGUGGAAAAGAAAGUUAUUGUAUGCCUUAUUUCAGUGAGAUAAGGUACAUUGGUGUUUACUGAUUGUUACAGACAGAUUAUUACAUUGUUACACAUAGACAUAAAGUACAAAACAAACUAUUAUACUGUUGUGUUAUUCUUAUGAAUGCUUGUGCCCGCCAUACUAAUGUGAAUGUAAGAAAAAAAAACAGGUUUUUUAUUUGGUUUUACAAGAUUCUUAAAUUCCAUUGUUAAGUAUAUUUUGAUACGAAAUGACACGUUAAAAUUUACAUAAUUAUUGUUUGUUAUGCGAUCUUUAGUGAGAUUAUUCCGGAGUCACUAUUUUAAGUCCUAGUAUUAGAGAAUUUCAAAUAGAUUGUUAAGUUUAAUAUUUGUUUAAUUUAGGGGUUUAAAUGGCAAGGGCAGGGUGGUAUUGUCUGUUAAUCUAAAACUAUAACACACAAGCACAGAAUAUAUAAUAGUACUACCGUACAGAAAGGAAACUUCCUACAAAACCGAAGUUUGACAGCGGUUCAGGGUCGAAUCAUGCUAUCCCUUUCUAAUAUAUGCCACUAUCCCUUUCGGCUAUUUAGGGUUGUCAAAAUUCAAGUGAUUAUCUUAUCUGUGGUGGUGCACGCAAAGGGACGUCAAGUUGUGUCAACCCUAAUGAGCAAUGCUGAGCCGAGCGGAGCCGAGUUUGGCCGAAGUCAGGAGUUUCGCACCCCUGACACGAGUUACUUAAAUCACUAUUGUAAGUCCAUUGAUUGCCAUUCAAAAUGAAGACACAUUUUACCGUAAAUACGAUUUUUAUUUUAGGACGGCAUCUCUGGACGUUAAAAAUAGUGUUUAAAAACUUUUAACCUAUCCACACUUUCAUUCCUAUGAUCCAUUUGUUUAAAACUGUGAUAUUGGCAAUGUUUAUAAGUGUUACUUAUCAGUUACUUACUUAUAAGUUUAUAGUUACUUAUAAGUGUUAUCUGUAUCUUUAGGUAUUUAAAUAAAAGUAAACAAACAUUUUUUACAUUUGUAGGUAGUUAUAAGAUUUAUUGGUUAACCAACCAAAUACAAAACCGCCUGGAUCAGUCACGAACGACCUGACUUUAACCUACAUUAUUUGAUCAUGUAAUGUUUUCAUCUACCCUCAACUGGCUUGAGGGUAGAUUUUGUUUAUUUUUGUUUAAAUACCUAAAGAUGAGUAUAGUUAUGCAAACUGUAUUGGUAUGGUGGUUGCUCUUUUAUCUUUUAGUGUCACGCGUGACUCUCGCACUUACAUAAAAUUGGCGACCACAAUGACAAACUAUAAAAGCGAAACCAUUUUAGGCCCGCAAAUCACUUUAGUAAAUAAUUACAAGACUUUGUAGUUAAUAAUAUUUAUAGUUUUCUUAAGAACUGUAACUUAUUGAUUGAUACAAAGUCUCGUCAAUUUAUCUUUAUUAACUAAUUAGGUACAUUAAUUACUCAUUAAACAUCCUUGACAAAUAUUAUUAACUUUUCAAUACUUGACCUUCGACCCGUUAAAGUUUGGCAUAUUUAUCAAAACAUAAUUAUUUCUGUGUUUCCCGUAUGUCAUUAAUCUAAAUCUAAAGCAGCGGCGGUAGCACGGUCGCUUUUUUAUCGCCUGUCACCAUUCCUGUCACGUUCUAACAAGCAUGUCAGUGCGAAAGUGACGGACAUAGUGACAUGCGAUAAAAAUAGAACCAUGCUGCCAUAGCAGUAGAAUUUAAAAUGAAC